rnacentral:lncRNA from 1 species
UCUUGAUAAUUUCAUGAAAUUAUUAACACGAGAGAAAAAUUGUAAAUUAGACGGGAAAAAUGUGCACAGUGCACCUUUGCAAUUGCAACAUAACAGCAAAUCAGUGGAGUCGCAUCAUAAGCUCGGCGCAGGUAAUGUCUACUCCCUCAUCCACGCUGCCGUGUCAAAACCCAUCCCAAAAAUUAAAAUUCAAAAAAAAAAAAAGAGCAUUUAUUGAACUCGUAGAGCUGAAAACCCCCAAAACCAAAUCAAUCGCGCUGCAGCCGAGAGGAAAAUGAGCGAAAUCGAGGAAUCGGGAAGAAGCUUAUGGCAUUCUGUGAAGAAGAGUUUUCAUCUCGACGAUUACUCCAAAAUUCUCAAUCCGAAUAGACCUUUGCCCAUCGGAAUAGCGCCGCCGUCCAGCAAUUCAUCGCAUCUGACUCCGUCCACGGACCUGC